UACAGAGGUCUCAAGCGUUGUUCGGAUUCAUUGGGCGUAAAGGGUGCGUAGGUGGGCAGGAAAGUCAGUGGUGAAAUCUCCGGGCUUAACCCGGAAACUGCCAUUGAUACUAUUUGUCUUGAAUACUUUGGAGGUAAGCGGAAUAUGUCAUGUAGCGGUGAAAUGCUUUGAUAUGACAUAGAACACCAAUUGCGCAGGCAGCUUACUACACAGUAAUUGACACUGAGGCACGAAAGCGUGGGGAUCAAACAGG
rnacentral:rRNA from 1 species